rnacentral:rRNA from 2 species
UCAAUGAAAUCGAGUAGGACGGAGCACGAGAAACUUUGUCUGAAUAUGGGGGGACCAUCCUCCAAGGCUAAAUACUACUGACUGACCGAUAGUGAACCAGUACCGUGAGGGAAAGGCGAAAAGAACCCCGGAGAGGGGAGUGAAAUAGAACCUGAAACCGUAUGCGUACAAGCAGUGGGAGCCUACUUUGUUAGGUGACUGCGUACCUUUUGUAUAAUGGGUCAGCGACUUAUAUUCAGUGGCGAGCUUAACCGAAUAGGGGAGGCGUAGCGAAAGCGAGUCUUAAUAGGGCGUUUAGUCGCUGGGUAUAGACCCGAAACCGGGCGAUCUAUCCAUGGGCAGGUUGAAGGUUAGGUAACACUGACUGGAGGACCGAACCGACUACCGUUGAAAAGUUAGCGGAUGACCUGUGGAUCGGAGUGAAAGGCUAAUCAAGCUCGGAGAUAGCUGGUUCUCCUCGAAAGCUAUUUAGGUAGCGCCUCAUGUAUCACUGUAGGGGGUAGAGCACUGUUUCGGCUAGGGGGUCAUCCCGACUUACCAAACCGAUGCAAACUCCGAAUACCUACAAGUGCCGAGCAUGGGAGACACACGGCGGGUGCUAACGUCCGUCGUGAAAAGGGAAACAACCCAGACCGUCAGCUAAGGUCCCAAAGUCAUGGUUAAGUGGGAAACGAUGUGGGAAGGCUUAGACAGCUAGGAGGUUGGCUUAGAAGCAGCCACCCUUUAAAGAAAGCGUAAUAGCUCACUAGUCGAGUCGGCCUGCGCGGAAGAUGUAACGGGGCUCAAACCAUGCACCGAAGCUACGGGUAUCA